rnacentral:rRNA from 1 species
UUAAGUUAUUAAGGGCGCACGGUGGAUGCCUUGGCACUAGAAGCCGAUGAAGGACGUUACUAACGACGAUAUGCUUUGGGGAGCUGUAAGUAAGCUUUGAUCCAGAGAUUUCCGAAUGGGGAAACCCAGCAUGAGUUAUGUCAUGUUAUCGAUAUGUGAAUACAUAGCAUAUCAGAAGGCACACCCGGAGAACUGAAACAUCUUAGUACCCGGAGGAAGAGAAAGAAAAUUCGAUUCCCUUAGUAGCGGCGAGCGAAACGGGAAGAGCCCAAACCAACAAGCUUGCUUGUUGGGGUUGUAGGACACUCUAUACGGAGUUACAAAGGACGACAUUAGACGAAUCAUCUGGAAAGAUGAAUCAAAGAAGGUAAUAAUCCUGUAGUCGAAAAUGUUGUCUCUCUUGAGUGGAUCCUGAGUACGACGGAGCACGUGAAAUUCCGUCGGAAUCUGGGAGGACCAUCUCCUAAGGCUAAAUACUCUCUAGUGACCGAUAGUGAACCAGUACCGUGAGGGAAAGGUGAAAAGCACCCCGGAAGGGGAGUGAAAUAGAACCUGAAACCGUGUGCUUACAAGUAGUCAGAGCCCGUUAAUGGGUGAUGGCGUGCCUUUUGUAGAAUGAACCGGCGAGUUACGAUUUGAUGCAAGGUUAAGCAGUAAAUGUGGAGCCGUAGCGAAAGCGAGUCUGAAUAGGGCGUUUAGUAUUUGGUCGUAGACCCGAAACCAGGUGAUCUACCCUUGGUCAGGUUGAAGUUCAGGUAACACUGAAUGGAGGACCGAACCGACUUACGUUGAAAAGUGAGCGGAUGAACUGAGGGUAGCGGAGAAAUUCCAAUCGAACCUGGAGAUAGCUGGUUCUCUCCGAAAUAGCUUUAGGGCUAGCCUCAAGUGAUGAUUAUUGGAGGUAGAGCACUGUUUGGACGAGGGGCCCCUCUCGGGUUACCGAAUUCAGACAAACUCCGAAUGCCAAUUAAUUUAACUUGGGAGUCAGAACAUGGGUGAUAAGGUCCGUGUUCGAAAGGGAAACAGCCCAGACCACCAGCUAAGGUCCCAAAAUAUAUGUUAAGUGGAAAAGGAUGUGGCGUUGCCCAGACAACUAGGAUGUUGGCUUAGAAGCAGCCAUCAUUUAAAGAGUGCGUAAUAGCUCACUAGUCGAGUGACACUGCGCCGAAAAUGUACCGGGGCUAAACAUAUUACCGAAGCUGUGGAUUGUCCUUUGGACAAUGGUAGGAGAGCGUUCUAAGGGCGUUGAAGCAUGAUCGUAAGGACAUGUGGAGCGCUUAGAAGUGAGAAUGCCGGUGUGAGUAGCGAAAGACGGGUGAGAAUCCCGUCCACCGAUUGACUAAGGUUUCCAGAGGAAGGCUCGUCCGCUCUGGGUUAGUCGGGUCCUAAGCUGAGGCCGACAGGCGUAGGCGAUGGAUAACAGGUUGAUAUUCCUGUACCACCUAUAAUCGUUUUAAUCGAUGGGGGGACGCAGUAGGAUAGGCGAAGCGUGCGAUUGGAUUGCACGUCUAAGCAGUAAGGCUGAGUAUUAGGCAAAUCCGGUACUCGUUAAGGCUGAGCUGUGAUGGGGAGAAGACAUUGUGUCUUCGAGUCGUUGAUUUCACACUGCCGAGAAAAGCCUCUAGAUAGAAAAUAGGUGCCCGUACCGCAAACCGACACAGGCAGUCAAGAUGAGAAUUCUAAGGUGAGCGAGCGAACUCUCGUUAAGGAACUCGGCAAAAUGACCCCGUAACUUCGGGAGAAGGGGUGCUCUUUAGGGUUAACGCCCAGAAGAGCCGCAGUGAAUAGGCCCAAGCGACUGUUUAUCAAAAACACAGGUCUCUGCUAAACCGUAAGGUGAUGUAUAGGGGCUGACGCCUGCCCGGUGCUGGAAGGUUAAGAGGAGUGGUUAGCUUCUGCGAAGCUACGAAUCGAAGCCCCAGUAAACGGCGGCCGUAACUAUAACGGUCCUAAGGUAGCGAAAUUCCUUGUCGGGUAAGUUCCGACCCGCACGAAAGGCGUAACGAUUUGGGCACUGUCUCAACGAGAGACUCGGUGAAAUCAUAGUACCUGUGAAGAUGCAGGUUACCCGCGACAGGACGGAAAGACCCCGUGGAGCUUUACUGUAGCCUGAUAUUGAAAUUCGGCACAGCUUGUACAGGAUAGGUAGGAGCCUUUGAAACGUGAGCGCUAGCUUACGUGGAGGCGCUGGUGGGAUACUACCCUAGCUGUGUUGGCUUUCUAACCCGCACCACUUAUCGUGGUGGGAGACAGUGUCAGGCGGGCAGUUUGACUGGGGCGGUCGCCUCCUAAAAGGUAACGGAGGCGCUCAAAGGUUCCCUCAGAAUGGUUGGAAAUCAUUCAUAGAGUGUAAAGGCAUAAGGGAGCUUGACUGCGAGACCUACAAGUCGAGCAGGGUCGAAAGACGGACUUAGUGAUCCGGUGGUUCCGCAUGGAAGGGCCAUCGCUCAACGGAUAAAAGCUACCCCGGGGAUAACAGGCUUAUCUCCCCCAAGAGUUCACAUCGACGGGGAGGUUUGGCACCUCGAUGUCGGCUCAUCGCAUCCUGGGGCUGUAGUCGGUCCCAAGGGUUGGGCUGUUCGCCCAUUAAAGCGGUACGCGAGCUGGGUUCAGAACGUCGUGAGACAGUUCGGUCCCUAUCCGUCGUGGGCGUAGGAAAUUUGAGAGGAGCUGUCCUUAGUACGAGAGGACCGGGAUGGACAUACCUCUGGUGUACCAGUUGUCGUGCCAACGGCAUAGCUGGGUAGCUAUGUGUGGACGGGAUAAGUGCUGAAAGCAUCUAAGCAUGAAGCCCCCCUCAAGAUGAGAUUUCCCAACUUCGGUUAUAAGAUCCCUCAAAGAUGAUGAGGUUAAUAGGUUCGAGGUGGAAGCAUGGUGACAUGUGGAGCUGACGAAUACUAAUCGAUCGAAGACUUAAUCAA